CUGCCUAUUUCACCUUCCAACUUUUUUUGUAAGUACAAUGAAUGAGCUGGUAAUUAAAUUUAGCUGUUUAUUAUUUCUGUAUACUCAAGUUCAGUACAGUUGAACAUUAUUUUAUACAAUAAUAACUUAGGGUGAAAUGACUUUUUCCAAGUGAGCAGUCUCAAGCAGAAGUGAGUCAGUUGGCUGGCAGAAGGCUGGAGCCCAGAUGUGGAAUUAACCUUUUAUGACACUGCCGGGCUUCUGCUGACAGAUAAAUAAAGCAAGGAGUUCUCUGGGAGUAUUUGUGCAGUAGGAGGCUGAUGGACCCCUGGCAGCACCACAUUUUAACAGGAUUUGCACCAAGAUAACUGAAGAACGAAUUAUGGCUGUGCUUGAGCAACAUCAUCUGUGCCCUUCACUGGCUUCCCAAGGACGGGUAAUUUAUAAAGAACACUGCUCACAGUCUUUGAGGGGAGAUCCACGAGCAGUUGUGUAUCUGCAGUCACUUACAGGGACAGUGAUGACUGGAAGCCACAGCUACAGCAAGCAACACGAAAUUCCCAGGAUGGAUUCCAGCACAAAGCACUUGCAAAACAAGCUCUGAAUGACAACUCUGUAACCAUCACUGUUUCUUUCAAGGCAGACCCACAGGAACAGUCUACAUUGCUUAAAUUAGGACUUAUCUAAUUAGUCUAACAAAGAUUUUGCCACACAAAAAAAGCAUCCAGUUUUAUUUUUCCAGGCUAAACCCCAGUGUACUGUCGCAAAGAUGCACCAGCAGCU